rnacentral:rRNA from 1 species
CCUACGGGAGGCAGCAGUGGGGAAUAUUGGACAAUGGGGGCAACCCUGAUCCAGCCAUGCCGCGUGUGUGAAGAAGGCCCUCGGGUUGUAAAGCACUUUCAGUGAGGAAGAACGCCUGGUGGUUAAUACCCAUCAGGAAAGACAUCACUCACAGAAGAAGCACCGGCUAACUCCGUGCCAGCAGCCGCGGUAAUACGGAGGGUGCGAGCGUUAAUCGGAAUUACUGGGCGUAAAGCGCGCGUAGGUGGCUUGAUAAGCCGGUUGUGAAAGCCCCGGGCUCAACCUGGGAACGGCAUCCGGAACUGUCAAGCUAGAGUGCAGGAGAGGAAGGUAGAAUUCCCGGUGUAGCGGUGAAAUGCGUAGAGAUCGGGAGGAAUACCAGUGGCGAAGGCGGCCUUCUGGACUGACACUGACACUGAGGUGCGAAAGCGUGGGUAGCAAACAGGAUUAGAUACCUUGUAGUC